ensembl:lncRNA
GGACAUUAAAAGAUUAGGGGGAUGUGGGCACGUGCUGGCUUCUGGAGAAGGAGACAAUGCUUGAUUUAGGAUGGAACUUGUCUGCGACGGCCGACAAAGGAGGGAGGCUGGAGCGAGGCAGGGGUCAGCGGAGCUCUUGCUCAGGGGGAGACAAAGGCAAGGGAGGAAGGAGAGGAGGAGCAGAAGUGAGAAGCGGCUGCAGCGUGCUCUGAAAAGGCCGCCGCGGUCUUGCAACAGCUGCUCCCGCACAAGAAAUUUGAGACGGUCUUUUCACAAACACAACGGCUGUCAGAAGAAUAGGGAGGCCACACUUCGCCAGAAUGAGUCGUUUGCAAUUGAAAAGGGGAACUGAGAGCUCCCAGUGCUUUCAAAGGUCUGUAUCUACAGCACUACGAAAUGAUUAGUCAAAGUACAUCGUGGAACAGGAGGAAAGUGUGCCGCAGACCAUAGGGGGAAGUAAAUCCUUGCGGUGCUGUUAAAAGUUGAUGCAGCAGCCAUUCUCUGCAGUAUGUGGCACAGAAGAAAGCAUCCACAGAUGAAGAGGUUUCACUCAUAAAAAGAUGGUCUCUGCAGGAAGAGUCCUCCUCUGGUACUUCACUGCCUCUGAAGAUGCUGAGCCAAGGAGCCUGAGAGUAGUGCAUUGCAUGCACUAUGCCUCAAGACUCCCUGAGUUCCAAAGAUCUUCUGGGAACCUCAUUCCAGAAGUAAAGCAGAGUGAUCUGUCCAGGGAACUGGCUCCAGUCUUUCAGAGCAUUUAUGUUGUGGGAUCUUUGGUUUAUCUGCUUUGAAGAACAUCUGUAGCAGAAGAACGAGGACUGUGUCUGCUCUAUAGUCUCAGAGGAAGGCAGUAAAAGACCAGUGGUGUGGCCUGAGAUGAUGCUCUCUCCCUAUCUGGAGAAUCAGGAGCUUCUGUAGCUUGCACAAGGAGGCAGAAGAAGAACUGAGAUUCAGAUGCAGUUUUUGCCCAAGCAGAGCACACCAGAAGAGUAUACCCUGCAAAGCACUGAUGCAACAUUUAGUGAAAACUGCAGUUGGAUGGCAGUCAGAACCUGAGAAGAGGAAUAUAAAGAUGGAGUUAUUUCAUUAUUGUACACCUACGUAAUGGCUAUCUUUCUAUUUUUGUUUCUCUUACACCGUACUGCAGGAGCACACAUGGGACAUGUGAUAGCAAGAUAAGAAGUAUCUUGCAUUUCGUGGACUAACAUACUAUACUGGUGCUGAACACCGUCCUACUGUCCUGUUCCCUUACAGAUUUACUGAAAAUGUCUCCAGCCAUGUUAAAUGAGUCAAGUGACUAAUGUGUUUCUAGCUCAGUUUUGCUCUGGGUUCAGUGUGCACCACCUGGGUAAAGUUACAAAGACUUGCUGAGAUACUGAAGGGCAAAACAAAGCUUUUGGAAUCACACUGCUUGAAGCAAAGGCAAUGGGUGCAGGUCAUUUUAUCCUUGUGAUGUGUAGUAUACUUGGUGUUGUGUAGUGGGGCUAAGUGCUGACGGCACAUCUUAUUUGGCUGUCCAAGGUGCCUGCUUGCUUCUGCUCUUGGUCUUAUGUGCCAUCACCAUCCUGAUUUCACCCAAACCCUUGCUAAGGAGGAAGGUAGAAACUGUUCAUUGAAGAUAGGCCUUCAAGGCUGAGCAAAUUUAAUUUUGCCCCAAGGUAUGUAAGCUUGAAUUGCCUUCUUUAUCUCUUCUAUAGGCUGUCUCCAACAAGGUCGUGCAACUGGAGUGGUCUUACUUUAGUAUAUAGUUCCUUUGGGUCAGAGAUCAUUCCAGUAAGACUACUGUACAUAGUAUUACUGAGUAUUUGUGUUAACAAGAACCAUCUCUAUGAAGGUGUUAGCAGGAAUCAGAGCAUGCUAGCUGCCUGCAGCAAUGAAAACGGAACCUAAGUGACUGAUGUCACUUGCUCCAUUGCCUAUGUUAAAGGCUGCUGAGAAUUCAAGGUGAGGCAGGCAGGAGGUCUGCCCUUGCACAUGUCUGUUAGACAGCAGGGUGGAUUGGACAGUGUGUGUUUCUUAUGUUCCUCUUCAAUGAGCAGAUGUCUGUUUUUUUGUGUCUUUAGGAUAGUGGUAUCCUUGUCCAGUUCUAAGGAAGGUCUUUAAUGCCAAUAUAAAACAGCAGUCACAGGAUUUCUCCAGAAACUCAGUAAUUUAUUGGCAGAUUAAGCUUUCUGUAGAAGACAUUCAGUCACCUAUGUGAUAAACCAUGAAGUUCACAGACUCUCUUUCUAUUCUUAAGAGCAUUAAAUAUGCUUCAAUGCUUUACUAUGCAGACAUGCAGGAGAAAAGGUGGCUUUAAAACACCUGUCAGCUUUCCUAACCAGUUCAAGCAAUUGUAUCUUAGGGCUUUGCUGUGCUUACAUAAAAUAAUAUAUUUCAUUCCUUAAUAACUGCUUGCAAUAAAUUACAUCAUGUAGUCUUGGAUUACAUACUGAUAUCAGAGAUAAAUUGUCUCACAAGGAAGGCAGUGUGAAGGUUUCUGAGGGAGCAAGUUCCCUGAUUGUUUGGCUAUUCUUGGGGAUUUAAACAUGUUCAUGUUCAGAGUUCAGUUUUAACUGGAUGACAUUUACAGAUUUAAGUAUUGAAUUGUAUAAUAGAAUUGUAUAAUGAGCAAAUUAAAGCCUUAUCUUAGAUGUUUUGCUCUAGAAGAGAGACAAGGUUCAUUGGAAAACCUUGUUUACACAAUUUAGGUUUCCAGCACUAGCUUACCUCCAAACACAAUGUGAGCAGAAACCUCUCCAGCUCAGGAAUGUCUACUUUCCAAGCCCAUGCAGCAUGUCAAGGAGUGCCAGUACUCUGUCCAUCAGCUCCAGUGCAAGGUUCCCACAGCUCUGUAGGUCAAAGAAGAGAAAUCAGGCUACGGGUGAGCUGGAGUUCUGAUGGGAGGACAUGUGGGUUGGGGUUUCAUUCCCUCCAUGCAUGCACUCUGUACUAUCUGAGAACUGCAGAUGAGGUUUGCCUGGAGGCCUCUCGGUUGCUUCUCCAGAUGGGUACAGAGGUCCUGCACCAUCUGUCAGCCCUGUUCAGAUGUCUCAGAUACCUCCUGGCAUCUAAAAAAGUUUGUUGACUCUUUCUGCGAGGUUAUCACACCCAGGGGGGAUAAGGCACUUUCUGGAAUUUGAAAGUACAAACACAGAUUUGUGACAAAGGAGCAGUUUGGUAUAUAUAUAUGCUUUGACAUGGAAAAUCAUAGAAUCACAGAAUGGUUUGGGUUGCAAUGGUCUUUAAAGACUGCCCAGUUCCUACCCCCUUGCUGUAGGCAGGGUUGACACCCACUAGAUCAGUCUGCCCAGGCCUCAUACAACAUCAUCUUGAACAGAUAAAUGCAAACUCCCUUAGUAUGCAGAUGUUAAAAACUGUAACAAUACAAUUUCAAGUACAAAUGCAUAUAGCUCUUCAACCCCACAGGUGAGAAAUUUUUACCUUAAAAAUCAAGGUUUCAAUCAAUCUUUCCUCUUCUUUCUCUUUUUUCUUCUAUCUUAAAGCAAAUUUGACAAGUGUGUUCCUUGGCAGUAGAAAAAAUGACAGUUCUUUUUGGAGUCAGCAGAAUAAGGAGUCUCCUUUGCAAAAAGCCUGUAGCUGGUGGUAGGAAUGGAGUUACAGGAAGUUUGCACAAUCCAUAAUUACUUGUACAGUUACCUCCAAAACUAAUUUUGUUCUCUUCAGAACAGUUUCAUCAAACCUAGAUGUCACAAAAUCCUACAGAGUUGUUUGGGGAAGAGUGAUAGCAGAAAACAGCUGGCAGCAAUUUUCUCUGCGAUAAGUUAAAUAUACAAAAUAUAUCCAUCGAAAUUUCAUGAGAAUAGGUAAGACAUUACUAACUCUGAAUGUAGAAAUCCGCAAGGGACAUUGUUCAGUGAUCUGUCACUACCCAGGUACUGUGCGUGAGCAAUGAAUGUGAAAUGCAUGGUUUCCUUUGAAACAGAGCUGAGAAACUUUCUCUGUGAGAUCUUCCACAGCUGCAUCACUCCUCACCAACACUUUUCUACUUACCUUUCAAUUACAAGAAAAGGCAAGCUGAUAGAAUAAGGAGUUCAUGAAUGUAGCCUGAUAUUCACAAUUAUCUUACUCCCACUAUGUGACAUACCUGAAUGAGGUAAGAAAUCCUGCCUGCCUUUAUACUGUAGUUUACCAGAGCCCACCUCAGGAUGAAAAUGUGUGAAUAGAGUGGAUGACACUUCCCUUACAUGUCCUAGCUGAAAUGCAAGUGCAGCCUGUGCUGUUGCCUUUGGUAUGCAUGCUUAUCACAGCCUUUACCUUUCUUCAGACCUUCUUUCCAGUUUACCACUCAUGAAUUGCUGUUUCUCUAACAGUGUAGGGUGUACACAAACAGAAAAUGAAUUCUGUAACAUCUUAGAAAGGUAAUUAGUACUGGAGAGUGUUAAUUGUUAAGACUUUUGAAAGAGGAGACAAGUGGUACUCUACAAUAUAACAAAUAAGGAAAACAUACACAUUUCUAUAUUGACUGCACUGGAUUAGAGAAUUUUACUGGAAUUAGACAGUGUCGCUUGUCAUGUCUUUGCAUACAAAUACUGUGUGAAGUGUUUUGCCCCCUUUCCAGCUUGGCAGUUGUGUUGGUUCAGCCAGUGUGACCUGCUGAACUUCUCAUUUCAAUUAUAUAAGAAGGCAGAGGCAGAAGUUUUGAUGAAAUCCACAGUCUACAACCUAUCCUCGAGCAUACCUAUGCUCUCUCCUCUUGUGACAAAACAAUCUCUGUUAAUUGCAGGUGAAUUAAGGGAAGUAAAUUAGGUUAAAAGUUAUGUGCCUUCAUGACAUGUUGAACUGGCAGCUGCACAUUUGACCUUGCUAAGCCAGCUUCUUGCUGCCGAUAACAGAUGCUUUUCUACACACUUAGAAAAUUUGUGCAGACAGUAGUCUCCUGUUUUUUCAAAUAACAUCGUUAGCUAUCCUGUCUCUGGAAUGCAAGGUAGCAGGCUCGGACAGUAAAACCACAAGUUAACGAAGAAGCCUGGGAUUGCUGAAGGAAGUUGUGGCCAAUGAGAAGACCAACCAGAGCCAGCCAAGAGUCCUCCAUCCUAACCCAAGCCCAAGAAAAUAACACAAUGACCUUCAUUGGAAAGACCACCAAGAGAUACACGUGUAAAACAGCUGAGACUUGGGGGGAGGGGGGUGUCAAUCAUUUUGGAGACUUGUAAUAACCCAGCCUUUUCUUGGACAUCUAAUGCAUAUGUAAGCAACCUGCUCUUUAAGUAUGUGCUUUUCUUGCCCUCUGGUAUGCAGGCUGGGUGGGAAUAUCCCCCCUGCAUCCAGCAUGUGUGCAGCACUGAUUAAACAGACUGCUUUAUAACUUCUCUGUGGUUAUCAAGUUUGAUUUCCAUGUGUCACAGGGAUGAGACACUGUUUAAGGUGUAGGUAUAGAAUUACUGUGCCUAUUUAAUUUCCAGCAAUGUACUUGGCCUUCCAACAGAUCAAAAUCUCUAACUUCAGAGAAAAACACAAUGAACUUGGAAUUAGCCAGCUUUGCUAAUCAAGCCAUUUGUUCAGGUUUUAAAUGCUGCUAGUAUUCUAGUAACAAUAUUGCUUCUUAGCUGCCUGUUAGAAGUGUCAGGAAUGCACAUGACAUUUUCCAUUCCUACAACCCUUAUCAGGGGGUCUCAUUGUUCCAAAAGGGAUGUAUUUCUAUUUUAUCAUCUGCAGUGCAAAUAAAACCUUAGCAGUGUUGCACAGACAUAGUUGGGAAAUUACUUCCUUAGCAUACACCCAGAACUAACAUUUGCAUAAUUCUUUUCCUCUUGAUGACACCAAGCUGAGUGGUGCAGUUGACACGUUAGAAGGAAGGGAUGCCAUCCAGAGGGACCUCAACAAACUCAAAAGGUAGACCUGUGUGAACCUAAUGAGGUUCAACAUAACAAAGUGCAAGGUUUUGCACUUGAGUCGGAGUAAUCUCAGAUAUGUAUACAGACUGGGAGAAGAACUCCCUGAGAGUAGCCCUGUGGAGAAGGACCUGGUGGGUCCUG